AGGGUUUGAUUAUGGCUCAGGAUGAACGCUGGCGGCAUGCCUAAGACAUGCAAGUCGAACGAGGUGGCCCAAAGAAGAUUGAGUGCUUGCACAAGAUUGGACUUGGAUUACCACCUAGUGGCGGACGGGUGAGUAACACGUAGGUGACCUGCCUUUGAGUUUGGGAUAACUAUUAGAAAUGAUAGCUAAUACCGAAUUAAAUGCAGAUUCGUUUCUGUAUUAAAAGGAGCCUUUAAAGCUUCGCUUAAAGAUGGGCCUGCGGCGUAUUAGCUAGUUGGUGAGGUAAUGGCUUACCAAGGCGACGAUGCGUAGCCGAACUGAGAGGUUGAUCGGCCACAUUGGGACUGAGACACGGCCCAA
rnacentral:rRNA from 1 species